rnacentral:rRNA from 1 species
UACGUAGGGGGCAAGCGUUGUCCGGAUUUAUUGGGCGUAAAGAGCGUGUAGGCGGUCAGGUAGGUCCGUUGUGAAAACUCGAGGCUCAACCUCGAGACGCCGAUGGAAACCAUCUGACUAGAGUCCGGAAGAGGAGAGUGGAAUUCCUGGUGUAGCGGUGAAAUGCGCAGAUAUCAGGAAGAACACCGGUGGCGAAGGCGGGUCUCUGGGCCGAUACUGACGCUGAGGAGCGAAAGCGUGGGGAGCGAACAGG